UACGGAGGGGGCUAGCGUUGUUCGGAAUUACUGGGCGUAAAGCGCACGUAGGCGGCUUGGUAAGUUAGAGGUGAAAGCCUGGAGCUCAACUCCAGAAUUGCCUUUAAGACUGCCGAGCUAGCAGGUGAGAGAGGUGAGUGGAAUUCCGAGUGUAGAGGUGAAAUUCGUAGAUAUUCGCAAGAACACCAGUGGCGAAGGCGGCUUACUGGUCCGGUUCUGACGCUGAGGCGCGAAAGCGUGGGGAGCAAACAGG
rnacentral:rRNA from 1 species